GAAACGGCUCCGCCUUUGGUUCCCCCUCCUAAAGCACAGGGGCGCUAGAGAAAGUUUGAAGUUGGCGGUGCUGCUCAGCGGAGACGGCGACGACGACGUCGGAGUCACAGCCUAGGAAUGCUAAGAAUGCGAGGCGGCCGCCGGCAGUGGAAGGCAGGAAACGUCGGGUUUUGAGUUGAGAUCUCGCUCCUUUCCCCCCCUCCUCCCUCUCUCUCGUGCUUUGCACACACACACGCACACAGAGUUCCCCUCCCCCUUGUCCAGGAAUGAAAGGCCCCCGAAGGAAGCCCGGCCUCUUCACCACACCGAUCCGCCGAGGAGGUUCUUUCAAGCGGGAGACGGGGAGAGCAGAUACCGAAGGAGAGACUCCUCAGACGGCGCCGUCUUUUUCUUCCCCUCUAGCUGCUGGUUCUGAGCUCAGCUCGUGGGUCUGCCUGGCGGCUUUGCGCGAAGUGCGUCGGGGUCGUUUCAGAUUUACACGUGUGGUUCUCGGGGGAAGGGGCACCAAACCCAUCCCCGUUGAACGAGCCAGGAGAGAGCAAGAGCCUCUGCGGGCAGGGAGGAAGGAGCGGCGAGAAAAGGACGUUUGGGGUCUCUCGCCAAAGGGUGUAAACCGAGGAACCCCGAAAAUCAGUUUGAGUAGGAGAUUUGGCGGGUGUGUGUGUGUGUGUGAGGAAAGUGAGGUUGGAAAAGCAGGCCGGGCGAGGGAACGGAACGGAGGCGGCUCUUCGUGAAGUUUGGGAAGGGCGGAGUUUAAGGAAGCCUUGCGAGCCCAGCGGCCGAUCUGGACUUGGCGAGUUGCUCUCUUACCGCCCCGCUGGGAAGUAACGCUACAGACCGUUGUCCGAAGAUCUCGGACGCGUGUUUUGUAGCCAGAUGUGCCUGUGGUUCGAAUUUCGGCUAGUUCUUUUGGGAACUGGACGUACAUGUGGGCAUCUGGGUGGUUCAAACCAUAGGCGUUGACGGUUUGGAGGGAGAUACUAGCAAAUGUCUCUUAAAACGAUUUCUUUCGAAGUUGCUUGAACUGUUAAUGCUUCUGUAAUUGUCAAUUUCUGGAAUAGGUUACUGCCUAUUUUUUAUGUUUUCUUUAAUUUGAUCGAAAGCUGGGGUAAGUCUGAUUUAAAUAAAAUAGAGCAAGAAUUUA